rnacentral:rRNA from 1 species
AACGGCCAUACCAUGCUGAAUAUACCGGUUCUCGUUGAUCACCGAAGUCAAGCAUCAUUGGGCGCGGUCAGUACUUGGGUGGGUGACACCUGG